CCUAACACAUGCAAGUCGAACGGUAACAGGAAGCAGCUUGCUGCUUCGCUGACGAGUGGCGGACGGGUGAGUAAUGUCUGGGAAACUGCCUGAUGGAGGGGGAUAACUACUGGAAACGGUAGCUAAUACCGCAUAACGUCGCAAGACCAAAGAGGGGGACCUUCGGGCCUCUUGCCAUCGGAUGUGCCCAGAUGGGAUUAGCUAGUAGGUGGGGUAACGGCUCACCUAGGCGACGAUCCCUAGCUGGUCUGAGAGGAUGACCAGCCACACUGGAACUGAGACACGGUCCAGACUCCUACGGGAGGCAGCAGUGGGGAAUAUUGCACAAUGGGCGCAAGCCUGAUGCAGCCAUGCCGCGUGUAUGAAGAAGGCCUUCGGGUUGUAAAGUACUUUCAGCGGGGAGGAAGGCGAUAAGGUUAAUAACCUUGUCGAUUGACGUUACCCGCAGAAGAAGCACCGGCUAACUCCGUGCCAGCAGCCGCGGUAAUACGGAGGGUGCAAGCGUUAAUCGGAAUUACUGGGCGUAAAGCGCACGCAGGCGGUCUGUCAAGUCGGAUGUGAAAUCCCCGGGCUCAACCUGGGAACUGCAUUCGAAACUGGCAGGCUAGAGUCUUGUAGAGGGGGGUAGAAUUCCAGGUGUAGCGGUGAAAUGCGUAGAGAUCUGGAGGAAUACCGGUGGCGAAGGCGGCCCCCUGGACAAAGACUGACGCUCAGG
rnacentral:rRNA from 1 species